rfam:Octopus bimaculoides Scaffold119939_contig_54, whole genome shotgun sequence.
GUACUAGCUACGGCAGAACAUAUUCUAAAAUUUGAGCGAUACAGAGAAGAUUAGCAUGUCCCCUGCGUAAGGAUGACAUGCAAAUUCGUGAAGCAUUCCAUAUCUUU